rnacentral:sRNA from 1 species
UAUACUAAAGGUACUCCUCAAGGUUGC